AGAGGUAGAGUACCAUUUGGGCAACAAAAGCUAAAUAACAAACACCCAGGCCCUGAGUUCAUGUUCCAAUACCACCACCAAAAAAAAGAAAAGUAAUUAAUGAAGGUUAGUUGUUGUUCUAAGAAACAAGUACAACAAAGCAAUCUUGAAGAGGAUGGAUUUUACAUCAUUAACUGUCACACCCUAGCUCACUGGUGGUCAAAUUGAGACUUAACUCCCAAAUGGAGACAGCAAUAGCUGUCCUUCCAGAUGUUUGGGGAAAUGUCAUGCGAUGGUUUCACAGCACUUAUGCACCCUGGUGCUUGGAUAAAGAAAGGGCAAGCAGAGACAGCUUUCCCUGGAGUUGAUGUGCGAGUAGCCAGCAUUAUGUCAGCUAAGUGGCAAUUGUUCAGAAUCUGCAGCUACUAUUGUACUUGAUGCUUCCUGCUACUCAUUGUAAACUCAGUAGAUGACGGAGCACUCCAUGAGGGUCGACUGCAGAGAAAGCUCAAUGAUAUUACAAGAUUUUAGCUCCUGAAGGGCUUUGCUUUGUAAUGUGUGUGUUCCUUGUCAUUUACUAAACAAUAGCUUACUAUUGUGUUUCCUCAAAUAUUAAAAUAGCUUAUUAUGCUCUGUUAAUCUUUCUCCAUGACAUAACAUCCUUUAGGAUCUAUUUGAAAAAUCCAGUGGAGAACAAAUGUCUGUAAUCUUAGCUACUGGGGAGACAGAAAUUGGGAGGAUCAUGGCUCUAGGCCAAUCCAGGCAAUGGUUUUCCAAGAUCUUCCAUCUAAACCAAUAAAAAGCUCCGUGUAUGGGCACAUACCUAUCAUUUCUUGGUGAUUUGGGGAAAUGAUAACAGAGGAGUGUACUGUUGGCAUGGAGAUCCCAAGAGUUUCUCUGGGUGGAGUUGGUAGGGAAUACCAUCACCUGGAAAUGUAAGGGCAAGUCAGAGAAAUAAACAUAAGAAAGAGGGAAAAUUUUGAUAAUAAAAAUUUGAAAAAAAAAUAAAACUACAUAUUACCACAAAUGACACAAAUCAUGUACAUAAACCACAGUAAAAUAUCAUACCUUGGGAAAAAAUAACUGGAAAGUUUGCUUUUAACAGCCUUUAAAAAGACUUCAGACCUAAAGGUAUCCUGAGAAUCUGUUUCCCAAAUUUUAAUAAACAGUUGGUGUAUUAUUUAAUAUUUACAAGUUUGUGGAAAGUCAGCUUUGUAAUCCAUUGUAUGACAUAGACUUAGAAGCAAUGCUAAACCUUUCAACUUAUCCUCCUAUUAAAAAUGAAAGCCAAUUUUGGUACAACAUUGAUAAAUUUUAUGUUUUAUUUUAUUAUAAGAUUCCUGCUUGUAUCAAAUAAUGUUAAUUCUGUAAAUGUGUGCAUAAUUAAAUGCCUGAGAAUCUUUUCCGAGAUCCCAUCAUGCUGAUAAGUUAAAAAGAAGAGCAAUAGGCUCAUAAUAAGAUUCCACAGCAACAUUUGACGAGCAUUCUUGAUGUAUUUAUUGAUUUUAUUUUACAAGGCCCAGUGAAAUAACAGUGAAAGAAUAGAGCAUCUACUUCAGUAGCCAAAUAUAUUUAUUUAUAAGUGUUGUGGUACAAUAAAUAUUUUAUGCAUUGUUUGGGAAGUUCUAGUCCUUACAGUAACUUGGAAUAAAAAUAAUUUAACUUCAUAACAAUUUAGGUACUUACCCCAAAGAAUGAAAGAAAAUAGUUGAUUUUAAGUGAAAUGAAAUUAGAGUACUAUUUGUUGUAGGUAAUACAAAUUUUAUUAAUGUUAUGACUAGUAAGUUGCCUACACAAAAUUGCUAAAGUAUAAUUUAAAUGAUUUUUCUGGCCACUGAUGGCUCACAUCUAUAAUCCUAGCUACCCUGGUGGCUGAGAUCCGAGGAGUGUGGUUUGAAGCAAGC